rnacentral:lncRNA from 1 species
GCGCCUCUUCUCUAUCAACUCCCUUUGAAACCCUUACAAACACUAGCUGCCUCUAUUCAAUUCCACCUCGAUCCAUGGCUUCCCAUGUCCAUUGGAGGUGUUCAAUAGCCCAUGUGGGCUCCUGGGUGUUCGUCCCUAUAGUUUCACGACCAGAUCUCAAGGGAAGCCGGUCCAGGCUAGGCUUUACUUCCAUUCAUGGCUUUAUUCCGGUCACCCCUGACCGUUCUUCGGUCAGUUAUGACCUUUCGAGUUAGAUCUGUGACUCUCCUAGUUAGAUCGUCAAUUUUCAAAGCCUAUCUCGCCUUCUCUGGGGUUCUUCGAAACCCUAUCUCUAAGGUUCUUUCGAUA